rnacentral:lncRNA from 1 species
AAGUUUGCGCCCUUCAAUAGAUCAAUCAAUUCGGCUGACGAGGGAUCGGAUCAGCCGGGUUCGAAAAUCUUUAUUAUAGAAUCUGUUCGGCUGGAGGAGCCGAAUGUACGAACUGUGUAAGGAUCAAUGUCGGCAGAAGUGCCGAAUGGAAGAAGUACACAGUAGCUGGUCGGCUGAAAGAGACGAAUGGAAGAAGUACACAAUGACUGGUCGGCUGAAAGAACCGAAUGCCUUUAUAUAAUAAUAAAAAAGAGUGUGCUCGAAGGGCAUACAG